rnacentral:rRNA from 1 species
AACGAACGCUGGCGGCAUGCCUAACACAUGCAAGUCGAACGAGACCUUCGGGUCUAGUGGCGCACGGGUGCGUAACGCGUGGGAACCUGCCCUUAGGUUCGGAAUAACUCCCCGAAAGGGGUGCUAAUACCGGAUAAUGUCUUCGGACCAAAGAUUUAUCGCCUUUGGAUGGGCCCGCGUUGGAUUAGCUAGUUGGUAGGGUAAAAGCCUACCAAGGCGACGAUCCAUAGCUGGUCUGAGAGGAUGAUCAGCCACACUGGGACUGAGACACGGCCCAGACCCGUGGGGGGGGAGGAGGGGGGGAAUAUGGAAAAAGGGGAGAAGGCUUGACCCAGAAAGGCCGGGGGAGGAAGGAGGGCUUUAGGGUUGAAAAGCUUUUUUCCCGGGGAGAAAAAGAACAGUACGGGAAAAAAAAGCGCGGCCAAGCCCGGUC